rnacentral:tRNA from 1 species
GGCUUUAUAUUCAAUUUAUGAUUUCAAAUUGCAAAUUUGAAGGUGGGGUAGCCCUAAGGCUU